AACGGCCUACCAAGUCGACGAUCAGUAGCCGGACUGAGAGGUUGAACGGCCACAUUGGGACUGAGAUACGGCCCAGACUCCUACGGGAGGCAGCAGUCGGGAAUAUUGCGCAAUGGAGGAAACUCUGACGCAGUGACGCCGCGUAUAGGAAGAAGGUUUUCGGAUUGUAAACUAUUGUCGUUAGGGAAGAUACAAGACAGUACCUAAGGAGGAAGCUCCGGCUAACUACGUGCCAGCAGCCGCGGUAAUACGUAGGGAGCAAGCGUUAUCCGGAUUUAUUGGGUGUAAAGGGUGCGUAGACGGGACAACAAGUUAGUUGUGAAAUCCCUCGGCUUAACUGAGGAACUGCAACUAAAACUAUUGUUCUUGAGUGUUGGAGAGGAAAGUGGAAUUCCUAGUGUAGCGGUGAAAUGCGUAGAUAUUAGGAGGAACACCGGUGGCGAAGGCGACUUUCUGGACAAUAACUGACGUUGAGGCACGAAAGUGUGGGGAGCAAACAGGAUUAGAUACCCUGGUAGUCCACACCGUAAACGAUGGAUACUAGGUGUAGGAAAUGAUUUCAUUUUCUGUGCCGUCGCAAACGCAAUAAGUAUCCCACCUGGGG
rnacentral:rRNA from 1 species